GGUUAAGUGACUAAGCGUACACGGUGGAUGCCUUGGCAGUCAGAGGCGAUGAAAGACGUAGUAACUUGCGAUAAGCCCAGAUUAGGUAGUAACAACCAUUUGAGUCUGGGAUUUCUGAAUGGGGAAACCCACUUACAUAAGUAAGUAUCAUUAACUGAAUACAUAGGUUAAUGAGGCGAACCGGGGGAACUGAAACAUCUAAGUACCCCGAGGAAAAGAAAUCAACCGAGAUUCCGAAAGUAGCGGCGAGCGAAAUUGGACUAGCCCUUAAGCUUUACACGCGUUAGACGAACGGUCUGGAAAGUCCGACGAUACAGGGUGAUAGUCCCGUAGUUGACGACGUGUGUUCAGUGAAAUCGAGUAGGGCGGGACACGUGAUAUCCUGUCUGAAUAUGGGGGGGACCAUCCUCCAAGGCUAAAUACUACUGACUGACCGAUAGUGAACCAGUACCGUGAGGGAAAGGCGAAAAGAACCCCUGUGAGGGGAGUGAAAUAGAACCUGAAACCGUGUACGUACAAGCAGUAGGAGCAGGCUUUGUCCUGUGACUGCGUACCUUUUGUAUAAUGGGUCAGCGACUUAUAUUCAGUGGCAAGGUUAACCAUCUAGGGGAGCCGUAGGGAAACCGAGUCUUAACUGGGCGUUCAGUCUCUGGAUAUAGACCCGAAACCAGGUGAUCUAGCCAUGGGCAGGUUGAAGGUUGAGUAACAUCAACUGGAGGACCGAACCGACUAAUGUUGAAAAAUUAGCGGAUGACUUGUGGCUAGGGGUGAAAGGCCAAUCAAACCUGGAGAUAGCUGGUUCUCCCCGAAAGCUAUUUAGGUAGCGCCUCGGACGAAUACUACUGGGGGUAGAGCACUGUUAAGGCUAGGGGGUCAUCCCGACUUACCAACCCUUUGCAAACUCCGAAUACCAGUAAGUACUAUCCGGGAGACACACGGCGGGUGCUAACGUCCGUCGUGGAGAGGGAAACAACCCAGACCGCCAGCUAAGGUCCCAAAUUACUACUAAGUGGGAAACGAUGUGGGAAGGCUCAGACAGCCAGGAUGUUGGCUUAGAAGCAGCCAUCAUUUAAAGAAAGCGUAAUAGCUCACUGGUCGAGUCGGCCUGCGCGGAAGAUGUAACGGGGCUAAGUAGUAAACCGAAGCUGCGGCAAUGUGCUUUUGCACAUUGGGUAGGGGAGCGUUCUGUAAGCGGUUGAAGGUGUGUGGUAACGCAUGCUGGACGUAUCAGAAGUGCGAAUGCUGACAUGAGUAACGAUAAAGGGGGUGAAAAACCUCCUCGCCGGAAGACCAAGGGUUCCUGUCCAACGUUAAUCGGGGCAGGGUAAGUCGACCCCUAAGGCGAGGCCGAAAGGCGUAGUCGAUGGGAAACGGGUUAAUAUUCCCGUACUUCUUACAAUUGCGAUGGGGGGACGGAGAAGGCUAGGUGGGCCUGGCGACGGUUGUCCAGGUUCAAGUGCGUAGGCUUAAGAGUUAGGUAAAUCCGGCUCUUUCUAAGGCUGAGACACGACGUCGAGCACCUACGGGUGUGAAGUCAUUGAUGCCAUGCUUCCAGGAAAAGCCUCUAAGCUUCAGAUUGUAAGGAAUCGUACCCCAAACCGACACAGGUGGUCGGGUAGAGAAUACCAAGGCGCUUGAGAGAACUCGGGUGAAGGAACUAGGCAAAAUGGUACCGUAACUUCGGGAGAAGGUACGCUCUUGAUGGUGAAGUCCCUUGCGGAUGGAGCUGACGAGAGUCGCAGAUACCAGGUGGCUGCAACUGUUUAUUAAAAACACAGCACUGUGCAAAAUCGUAAGAUGACGUAUACGGUGUGACGCCUGCCCGGUGCCGGAAGGUUAAUUGAUGGGGUUAGACUUCGGUCGAAGCUCUUGAUCGAAGCCCCGGUAAACGGCGGCCGUAACUAUAACGGUCCUAAGGUAGCGAAAUUCCUUGUCGGGUAAGUUCCGACCUGCACGAAUGGCGUAAUGAUGGCCACGCUGUCUCCACCCGAGACUCAGUGAAAUUGAAAUCGCUGUGAAGAUGCAGUGUACCCGCGGCUAGACGGAAAGACCCCGUGAACCUUUACUACAGCUUGGCACUGAACAUUGACCCUACAUGUGUAGGAUAGGUGGGAGGCUUUGAAGCACGUACGCCAGUAUGUGUGGAGCCGUCCUUGAAAUACCACCCUUGUAGUGUUGAUGUUCUAACGUCGACCCCUUAUCGGGGUUGCGGACAGUGCCUGGUGGGUAGUUUGACUGGGGCGGUCUCCUCCCAAAGAGUAACGGAGGAGCACGAAGGUGGGCUAAUCACGGUUGGACAUCGUGAGGUUAGUGCAAUGGCAUAAGCCCGCUUGACUGCGAGAAUGACAAUUCGAGCAGGUGCGAAAGCAGGUCAUAGUGAUCCGGUGGUUCUGAAUGGAAGGGCCAUCGCUCAACGGAUAAAAGGUACUCCGGGGAUAACAGGCUGAUACCGCCCAAGAGUUCAUAUCGACGGCGGUGUUUGGCACCUCGAUGUCGGCUCAUCACAUCCUGGGGCUGAAGUCGGUCCCAAGGGUAUGGCUGUUCGCCAUUUAAAGUGGUACGCGAGCUGGGUUUAGAACGUCGUGAGACAGUUCGGUCCCUAUCUGCCGUGGGCGUUGGAAGAUUGAAGGGGGCUGCUCCUAGUACGAGAGGACCGGAGUGGACGAACCUCUGGUGUUCGGGUUGUGUCGCCAGACGCAUUGCCCGGUAGCUAAGUUCGGAAUCGAUAACCGCUGAAAGCAUCUAAGCGGGAAGCGAGCCCUGAGAUGAGUCUUCCCUGAUACUUUAAGUAUCCUAAAGGGUUGUCGGAGACUACGACGUUGAUAGGUCAGGUGUGUAAGUGCUGUGAGGCAUUGAGCUAACUGAUACUAAUUGCCCGUGAGGCUUAACCAU
rnacentral:rRNA from 1 species